rnacentral:rRNA from 1 species
UCAUACUCCCCCCUAUGUGAACAUACUACAGUUGCCUCGGCGGGGUGCUACACCCCGCCGGCGGACCACUAAACUCUGUUUUAUCCACUGUAUCUCUGAAUUUAAUAACGAAAUACGUUAAAACUUUCAACAACGGAUCUCUUGGUUCUGGCAUCGAUGAAGAACGCAGCGAAAUGCGAUAAGUAAUGUGAAUUGCAGAAUUCAGUGAAUCAUCGAAUCUUUGAACGCACAUUGCGCCCAUUAGUAUUCUAGUGGGCAUGCCUAUUCAAGCGUCAUUUCAACCCUUACUCCCUGUAGCGUAGCGUUGGGAAUCUACCUGCAGGUAUUUCCUCAAAUCGAUUGUUGGAGUUAUAAAUACUCUAUGCUAUUUAAUACAAUUCUCGCUUCUGUAGUACCGCUACGGCUACCCACUAAACCCCCUAUAUUUCUAGUGGUUGACCUCGGAUUAUGUAGGAAUACCAGCUGAAGUUACGCAGAUCCCUACCCGGAGGAAUACCCUUUCCCCUCG